rnacentral:lncRNA from 1 species
AGGUCCGGAAUGGAUUUUGGGUGGUCAGGAAUGGAUUCCCAGAGUCUGGAAUGGAUUUCAGGGUCAGGAAUGGAUUCCCAAGGGUCAGCAAUGGAUUCCCAGAGGUCUGGGAUGGAUUUUGGGGUCAGCAAUGGAUUCCCAAAGGUAGGGAAUGGAUUUUGGGUGGUCAGGAAUGGAUUCCCAAAGGUCUGGAAUGGAUUCCCAAAGGUCAGGAAUGGAUUCCCAGAGUCUGGAAUGGAUUUUGGGGUAAGGAAUGGAUUCCCAAAGGUCCGGAAUGGAUUUUGGGUGGUCAGGAAUGGAUUUGGGGGUCCGGAAUGGAUUUUGGGAGUCAGGAAUGGAUUCCCAAAGGUCCGGAAUGGAUUUUGGGUGGUCAGGAAUGGAUUUGGGGGUCUGGAAUGGAUUCCCAAAGGUCUGGAAUGGAUUUUGGGUGGUCAG